GACAGUCAGUUACAGAACUGGGAACAGACCUGGCCUCCUGACUCUGGGUCUAAUGAUCUACCCCCUCCAUCAAGUGACAUGAGGCAACUGACCUCGGAGAGUUUGAAUUAUUUGCAAAGUAAGCAAUCUGAAGGAAGAAUUCUACUUUAUUCAUCUUUCCAUCUCAAGGGUCUGGCACACAGCAGACACUCGGCAUUAUUAUCUCAAGAGCUCUCAGAGCGUGGUCCCCAGAGCGGCAGCAGCAGCAUCACAUGGGAACUUGUUAGAAAUGCAAGCUUCCAUGCUCCACCCCAGACCUCCUGACUCAGACACACCAAGUACAGGGCCCAGCAACCUAUGUUCUAACAAGUGCUCCAGGAGAUGCUGGUGCACAAGAAAGUGGAUGGGAGCAAUCCGAUUCAUCUGUGAACCCUGGAGAUGGCAUCUGUUUGGCCCUGGAGUCCGCUGUCUAAACCUGGAGCUCAGUCUUAAGUCAGCAUGGUCUGUGCCUGCUCCAGUGUCCCGCCUACAAAAUCACACAGCUCUACAGUCCCCACCCUCCAUCGUGCCUCCCUGUGUAUCAUUACAUCACCAAACCCAACCCUGAGAGCAGCGCUUCUAGAGAUUCACGUCCCCCACCAUGUACGCUACACGGCAGAUGGCAAUAUGAACCCCAACAGUGUAAUUUUACCAGGAAGACAGCAGACUGCUCCAAAAACCAGCUAGAAGGGGGAAUUCAAGACCCAAGGAGGAUGUCAGGGCAGGGACAAGGCAGCACAAGAAUGACAGGAAGUGAGCAAUGGUCCAAGGAACUCACUGGGAGGUUCUUAUUCAGGGUUGGCCACCAGCACAUGGCAUAGGAAGUU